rnacentral:rRNA from 1 species
ACGCUGGCGGCAGGCUUAACACAUGCAAGUUCGAGCGGGGGUAGGUUGCUUCGGUAACUGACCUAGCGGCGGACGGGUGAGUAAUGCUUAGGAAUCUGCCUAUUAGUGGGGGACAACAUUCCGAAAGGGAUGCUAAUACCGCAUACGCCCUACGGGGGAAAGCAGGGGAUCUUCGGACCUUGCGCUAAUAGAUGAGCCUAAGUCGGAUUAGCUAGUUGGUGGGGUAAAGGCCUACCAAGGCGACGAUCUGUAGCGGGUCUGAGAGGAUGAUCCGCCACACUGGGACUGAGACACGGCCCAGACUCCUACUGGAGGCAGCAGUGGGGAAUAUUGGACAGUGGGCUGAAGCCUGAGCCACCCUUGCCGCGUGUGUAAAGAAGGCCUUUUGGUUGUAAAGCACUUUAAACCAGGAGGAGGCUCUUUAAGUUAAUACCCAUGGAGAGUGGACGUUACUCCCAAAAUAAGCACCCGCUAACUCUGUGCCAGCUACCACGGUAAUACCAAGGGUGGGAGCGUUAAUCGGAUUUACUGGGCGUAAAGCGUGCGUAGGCGGCUUUUUAAGUCGGAUGUGAAAUCCCUGAGCUUAACUUAGGAAUUGCAUUCGAUACUGGAAAGCUAGAGUAUGGGAGAGGAUGGUAGAAUUCCAGGUGUAGCGGUGAAAUGCGUAGAGAUCUGGAGGAAUACCGAUGGCGAAGGCAGCCAUCUGG